AAAAAAAAAAGCAAAAGCCCAUACACGUGAUGGCAUUUCAAGACUGACCUAGUUACUGUAGGUUUGGAUCCUUCGCAUUCUUGGCACCCAACAUUUGCAACUGCAUACAUGAAAACCAGCGUACAAAAACAGGGAUUAUUUUUCCCAUGGCACUUCAAAAUCAAGUAAAGGUUGAAAACUGCCUGGAAAUCCACGCUGAAUGAACACAUCUGUCUGCAAUCUUCAGGUUGUAAACAGUGCUGCUGGCAACCAGGAGAAUGAUUAUUUGAAGGAACGAAACAUCCCAAGCAUGGUGUUUUGCUGAACCAUGCCUGCAUUUUCAUCCAGUACCAGAAGACUGCAAAAGUAAAUGCACAUCAACUAAUUAAUAAGUUUAAAAACAGAAAGGCCACAUCUAAUGGUCUGAUUCCCACAUCUAGAUACUUCUUGGAAAUACUGUACUGUGAACUCUGACAGCAGUAACUCACCAGAAACUGAGUACUGUGGUACUUGUUCUGUAAUGGUGCUCAAAUUUGGCUCCUGCUACUUGGCUUGUUAUGGGAAGUACAGAGACGUGAUCAACCUUCUUUCUGGCUCUUCAUUCCCAUCCAGUGACCUCAGAUCUUGUAACAGAUUUGCUAUGUAAGGUUACCCAUUAUUCAGUAGCAAGGAUUAGCUGCUACAGCUAAAGCCUGGGACCUGGUUUCAGACCUCAGAGAAGAGUCACUAAAUUGGGAAGUCUGUACUUCAGUCUGUAGCAGUGAAAAUUUAAACAAUCAAGCCAGAUUUGAAAAUCCCAAGCAGACAAGUGGACCAGGCUCAGCACAUCCAGCUGGCUUCUACAGGAUACCAGCAUCGCAUCGUAUCACAUCUGUACCAGUACAGCAAGAAUGACUUGAGAUGAUGGAAGGAAGGAAGAAGAUUUUUCCAGAAAUUUCUAAGAAGCUCCUACUGAAUGACAGAAUGCAAGCUCCUCCUCUCCAGAAGGAAGAAAAUCAAAUGACAGAGCAGCACCUUCAGCUGAAGUGGAACUUUUCAGAGGCCAAGGUCAUGGAUGAAGUGGGGAAAUCAGGCAGCAAAUGCCCAGGUUCUGUUCUCCUGAGUUCUGCAGCCAAACAAGCCUGGCACCUGGAGCUGCAUAUUCAAUUGGGUGACUCCUCACCAGGGAAAACCAUCUCACAGUGCUGCCCCGUGAAUCACAGCCAUGUCUUAUUCUGAAGUCCUUAAUAUGGUCAUACAGAAUAGAAACAUAUUCUUUUUUUAACCAGCAGGUAAUUACCAAUGUAGUACAGAAGUCAAUGGUUACUCUUCUGGGGAUCAGUUCUCACUGUAUAUACAAGAUAGGCAAAANNNNNNNNNNNNNNNNNNNNNNNNNNNNNNNNNNNNNNNNNNNNNNNNNNNNNNNNNNNNNNNNNNNNNNNNNNNNNNNNNNNNNNNNNNNNNNNNNNNNAAAGAGUACCUUAUGCAUUAAGUACAAAACUAAACGUUUGUAAAUGCACACAUGUGCGUGGACAUUGUUGCCAUAUUUUCCUUUCAGAUGUAGGAAAAUCUAAAAAUCCAUUUUGGCUAAUCAGUUCAGGCUAUAUAGAGGCAGCCCGUUUCUGGAAUAACAGAUGCUCCUAAUUUAUCCUUCAACAUCAUGCCUAACAUUGUCACAAUUGGAUGCCAGAGUCCCUAAUUUGGAGCACCGCCUGUCAGGACAGAAAUGGCCAUGGAGAGAGCUCUGAGCCACUCUGCCAUUUGAAAUAAUGGGAUCUAUUAAAAAGGAAAAACAAAAAUCAAGCCAGAAAUCACUGACACAAACUGAAAGGAGAGGGCAAAGCUACAUGGACACUUAGUAAGAGUUGAAAUUGAGGCAGAGGAACAGAACCAGAAAUAGUUUGUUGGUGAAUCAGAGGCAUGGAAGGACAGUGAGCAACAGAUCAGCACGCAGAGAUCUGCUGGAAAACAAGUGCACACAUUAUCAUGUACAGAGAACAAAAGUAGCAAGACUGAAACAGAGCGUUUCCAGAACAAAUACUUCUGCAAAAAUCAAACAUUUUAAAGUAAUUUUUCUUCAUCCUGAAUCUACAUAAUUGUUGUUUUGUUUGCAUUUGAUCGAUGCAACUCUUUCAUCAAGUAGGUUGUGAAUAGGAAUGUUGUAAACAAGAACACUGUAAUCAUAUGUUGGCAUAUGCUCAAGGAAUUCAUGUGCAAAAGCAUUUUCACUGAAAUUCUGAAAGUUACGUUCAUCCAAUCCAAAAAGUAAAACAAAAUCACAUGUGGAAAGUGAAACAGCAUGUUAUCUAAAGUUAAAAUACACUCUUGCCAAUUCCAGCUGUUCAAACAUAAUCAGUGAAAAUCUUUGCUUUCCAUUUUUCUCACAGAAACUGGUAUUAAUGAUUAAAAGAACAGCCAUCAAAAUAAUAAGGCACAAGCAAACGUAGCACUGACAAAAAUCUCCCAUAUCUUUCCCUACUCACUGUACCUACUGGUCUAAUAGAGGGUAUUACCUCUCUAGCAACACCGUGCAGGUAGGAGGAGAAAGGCAGAACGAAUUAGGCUGAACAACCUGUUAGAAAGCUGAUCAUUUACAAGAGCUUAGCAACAGCUGGAGUCCAGUGACUGGAAAAUAAAUGAAGAUCUUAGAUGAGAUACCCCCCUAAAACUGAGUCACUUUCCCAGAAGUAUACACCUCAGUGGUCUUUGGAGCACGUGGCAACACAAGGAGUUGACAGCACACUGUCUUUAAAUGGCAGUGGCACACAGGCAAUAAAAACUGGAAAGCCACUGUAGCCAUUUAUUACAUAUAAUGAAUGUAAAGAAAACUUUUUGUUGCAAUUUACAGGUUCUUUUAUGUGGAACUUGAAAUGGAAAUACUGAUUGGCUUUAUGAGGAAUCACUGAAUUAUGCACCAGUCUUUGGAUAUCAAGAUGCAGUAAUUAAGCAAAGACUUCUAAACCUGCAGCAAUUUCAUCUUGGAAAGGUUUCUAUCAAAUUAAUUGACAGCAGGUGCAUUUCUCAGCCUAUACCAAAGCCAAGAGCUGACACAGAGGUAUAGCAAGUGCAGGUCCUUUUGUGGGAGGUGGUCUAUUUCACAGGCAUGAAAAAGAGCGAACUUCGGUCUCAGCUGUGGUUCCUCUCAGAGCUCCCCUGCACUCCAUCCUCAGUGAGCCUCCCAGACCAAAACGGGCUGAUUGCAGCCACAGCCCUUCUCUGCACAUUGCCAGUAGAAUCCCUUGAAAAAGAGCAGAGGCUUACCCCCCCCUUUCAGAUCAUUUGGUUCCACAUUUAACAGAAGCAGUGGAGACUUCAAAAUAUGAAGUUAGUCACAGAAGUCACAUGCCACUUUGCUUCUGCACUUUUAUAUAUAAAUAAGUAAAAAAGAAAAAAAAAAAGGCAAAUUUUUUUUGUAUUUAUUUUUCAACACAGAUAAGGAAGUUACCAUGGCUACCAAUCUCCAGUAGCAUGGUUUAAAAGGACAAAAAAGAAAGGAAAAGAAACCAGACUGAAGCUUGAAAAAGCCAGGUAGGUAUGCCCAAUACCACGGUGUGCGUAAUGGAGAAUUGUGGGGAUGGACUAGAAACAUUCAAUGCUGAAAACAAAAAUAAGGAAUAGGAGUCACAGAGAUGUGCAAGUCAUGCGUGCAUCUUCAGACUUUUUGAGUAGAUAGAACAUCUCAGUAGGAUCUCAACUGCCCUACAUGUAAAGAAAGUGCAAUGCAGGCCCUGAGAUUGGCAAAAGUAUAUUCUUACAUUUCAGAAACUGAGCAAAGGAGAUGUCAAAUAAAAGCCUAAAAUAAUAUGUGAAUGUGAUUCAUUUUAUACUGCUACACACAUUGUUCACAAGAAUUUAGUAUCAUUUAAACAGUGUAAUACAUUUGGAGAAGGAAAAAAAAUACCUGGCUGCCACAGGACGAUGCAAUUCGUUGUCAUAUCAGCGAGCCAGGCAUAGCAAUAAUUUAUUGAGAGAAAUCAAUCAUUUGUGCUCACACAGUGGGGACACUUAUGUGGAAACUACAAUGUUUAAUGCUUAAAUGAUGAAUACAAAUGCUUUUUUUUUGCUCACUUUUUGACAAGUGACCUCUGUCCCAGCUCCUCCAGCAUCACCCUUUAUUCCCUUACUGCGGAUAUCAAGUAUUCAGAAAACAUUUCUUACCACUGUAUAUACAUCUGCAUACUGUUCAGCCCCAUGGCAGUGGGGAAGGCCCAGUCCUUUCACAUGAUCUGCCUCCUCUCAAUUUGUCUCAUUCUAAAUUUUCUCAUUACUUUAAAUCAUAUGAGCAAACAACAACAAGAUGCCCCCCUUGGUACUGCCAGCAGCAUCAGCAAAUUCUAACAAUAGUUUGUUUGUGUGCUUUUCAACCUCAUGAUGGCCUCUGCGUGUCUGACUCGAGAGUGUGAGAUUUGUUGAAAAUCCCAUAGUGCCAGAAGGACAAUCUUUGUGAAGGAAUUCUAAAUAUGAAUCGUUUCCAAAGGCAUCAGGAAAACCUCCCUCUGAAAACUGAGAGGACAAACAAUUUUGUUAUAUAUUUAAAUUUUAAACAGCCCUAAUUACACAAGAAAAAGUUAUCUUUCUGCCAGUAAAUUAUCCCCACAUGCCAUUCAGCCACAGACCAAUGAAUUGCACAACUGCUGCAUCCCGUGUAAUGAAGGAAUUUUUCCCCUAGUUACUAAAGCACCGCCUCGUACAGCAAUGUGACAGUU
rnacentral:lncRNA from 1 species